UGAUAGCGAAGAAGCGGAGGUUGCCACGUGAUUGAUAAGAUAUCAUGAUGGGUUUUUCGUGGAGCGAAUGUCAGGACGA
rnacentral:ncRNA from 1 species